AAGCGGAAAGAGCUCAGACUGAAAAUCUUCGGAAUUGUAGUCUGGAGAAGGUGGUGCUCAGUGGCUAUUAUCGAUAAAGUUGUCUGGAAUGACACGCCGAGGAGGGUGACAGCCCCGUUCACGUCGAUAAUGGUAACUGGUCAGCCCAUCUUCCACGAGUCGAGUUGUUUGGGAUUGCAGCUCUAAUUGGGUGGUAAAUUCCAUCUAAAGCUAAAUAUGGAUGGGAGACCGAUAGCGAACAAGUACCGUGAGGGAAAGAUGAAAAGAACUUUGAAAAGAGAGUGAAAUAGUACCUGAAAUUGCUGAAAAGGAACCGAUGGGAAGCAGUGGUAUGCGUUGUGGUUUCCACAGCGUGUAGGUCAGGCUUUUUUCUUCGCAAGGGAAAAGACAUAGGUGCAGUUUUGCCUUAUGACUCUGUCAUGCGAAGGAAAGACUCUGACAAAAUGCUUCUCAUCAACCCGUCUUGAAACACGGACCAAGGAGUCUAACAUAUGUGCGAGUGCUCGGGAGCGAUUCCCCAGCGCGAAAUGAAAGUAAAGACUAGCCUAGCUAGUUGAGGUAGGAAGCGAAAGCUGCACUAUCGACCGACCAUGAUCCUCCGAGAGAAAGGUUUGAGUGUGAGCAUAUAUGUUGGGACCCGAAAGAUGGUGAACUAUGCCUGAGUAGGGCGAAGCCAGGGGAAACUCUGGUGGAGGUCCGUAGCGAUUCUAACGUGCAAAUUGAUCGUCGAACUUGGGUAUAGGGGCGAAAGACUAAUCGAACCAUCUAGUAGCUGGUUCCUCCCGAAAUUUCCCUUAGGAUAGCUGCAACCGAACAGUUUUAUCAGGUAAAGCGAAUGAUUAGAGGCCUCAGGAGCGGAAUGUUCUUGACCUAUUCUCAAACUUUAAAUGGGUAAGAGCCCUGGGUUGCUUAAUUGAACCCGGCGGUUGAAUGACGGUUGCUAGUGGGCCAAUCUGGGUAAGCUAGAUUGGCGAUGCGGGAUGAACCGAACGUUGAGUUAAAGUGCCAAAGUAUCCGCUAACCUAGAUCCCACAAAAGGUGUUGGUUC
rnacentral:rRNA from 1 species